UGUACAUUAUGAAAAAAGCUUAAGUGCAAAUCUGCGAGCCAAUGAAUAAUAACAGCAUAGUUAAGACCGAACCGCAUUUGUCGAGUCAGCACAACAUGACGAAGUCCACCUGUAUUGCUGUGAAAUGGUAAAUGCUGUGGUUGUGCAGAGAAAGAUCAUGCU
rfam:Methyloprofundus sedimenti strain WF1 Contig001, whole genome shotgun sequence.